ACCUCACUUUCAGCUAAAUAAUACAAGACACUGUGAGCCCUGCUGAUAGCUAUGUUGAUAGCUAUGCUGCUGAUGCUCUUUAUAGGGGUAAUAUAAAUGGAACCAUUUAUAGGGGAUAGCAUGGAUAGUAAGAUAGUAAGAAUGUAAAUGAGCUCCAUUGUUUGUUUUUGUGUUUGUUUUAACAUGAUUAAAAAGUAAAUGAAGUUACGUGCAAAGGUGAAUCAAGGCCUAGCAUUGUAAAUUAAUUUGUAUGAUUUUAAUAAUUCAAGGCCUAGCAUUGUAAAUUAAUUGGUAUGAUUUUAAUAAUUCUGUUGCUAUAAUUAAACUUAAAAUUAAACUUAAGCCUGAUGCUUUAUGGACGCUUGACUAGAGCCCUACAUGUGAAUUCCUGGAGAGGUGCUCACAAUCACUUUGCUCCUCCUCAGUCCUUUUUACUGCUGUGCUGUGAUGAACUAAGCCAAGAUUUCGUUUUGCAGGUCACCUGCCCCCAGACUCAUGGUUAAGGUCUCCCGUCACUAACCUCUCACUGCAUCUUGAGUGUAGCAGUUUAUGAUCAGUGAUCAUAAUAUUGUUUGUUUGUUAUUGUUUCAGUUGUUAGGCACUGACUAAAAAAAAGUUUUGAGGUGACGUACAUUGCAAUACAAUACAUUGCAAUACAAAAUAUAUAAAAAUAUAAAUGAAUUGAAAGUAGCAUCAAGCAGUAAAAAAUGAACAUAGACUACAGUAAUUCUAAAAAAAAAUAGAAGAAACCCAACUUUCUUCCUCCAAAUACAUGCAUGAGAUCAUGAUCACCAAGAAAUUAAAUAGCUAAAACACUCACACAAAUAACAUAGAUGUUAACAAUCAAGAGUGAGGAACUAAAUGAACAUAUUUCCAGGCUUGUGCCUAUAGGCUGGAAAAUGCUACAUUGUUGCCCAUGCACAUUAGCAAAUGUAUGUUAAGUUACACGUUAAUAUGGAUAUCAAAACUCUGAGUUUGUACCUAAAGUGUAAAGUUGCUGAAAUUUCAUAUUAUUUUGGAGAAAUAAGGAAAGUGCAGGAGAUUGUAGCCUAUGGUGACAGCGUUCUGCCAUUAGAAUAUGCCACAAAUUUUCUAGAUGAAGUGUUGUUUAUUUUUUUCUGGUGUAAUACAUGAUUUUUUCAUAAUAACAGAACUCUGUUUCAUAACUAUUGUUUUCCCUGUUCCUGAAAACAUGUUUGUUAAGAAGUCAAUAUUAAUUUGGUUCUUCCCCUUUCUGCUCCUAAAUACGGUAGAACAAGGGUGGUUUGAAUGCUUGACAUAGUAGAGAAGAAAGGUAGCCAUUCUCUGAAUUGUUAUUUCUGAAUAGCCUGCUGAAAUUAGUUAUAUUUACACAAGGUAUCUAUUAUUCCAAAAUGUUGUUUUAUUAUUUUGUUGUAUCAACUGCCAGGUCUGACAUAUAUUGAUAAAGCCCAAAAUAUGCAUUGUUCGUAAGAAAGGGUCUGCUUAGGGAUCUAUUAAUAAUGGAUAUCAUCCAUCUGUCUCUGGAAAAUGAAUUUUCAUGAUCCUAUUGUUUGUGUGUUGCAAAAAAGCUCACAGUUGCAACAUAAUACAAAGAAAGGAUUCACCCUACCGAUCCGACCAUUGGGCCAUGAAAUGUUGUCGAUGUCCAUUCUGUAUUUUUAUGUAUUCAGGACUCUAGUAUAAUUUGAAUGUGAAAUCAUAAUGGUUUAUAGCACUUCUGUUUCCUUUCAGGAUAUUACAUGUAGCAUGUCUAAGAAAUUGAACUACGUACAGUAGUAACCUCGCAUAUGUUCUGAAGGAGCCUGGGGAGAACUGCGAAAGAGUGGCAAGUGGCUGAAAAUGUCACAUUAUGCUGCUGUGCUCUCCUACCUCUGCUGUUUCUUCUGAAAUCGUUUAAUAGUUGAAUAUGUUACAGAAGCCUUGGGCAGCUUUAACUUGCACGUCAGAUGUUAAGCAACAUCAUUGCCUUGGUGUAUCUGACCCUAGCAAGAUUACACAAGAUGUAUCUUUACCAGAAGGGAAAGGAAAUGUUUAAAUGUGAUUUGUUUGGGCAUUUGGCACUGUGUUCUGUCUGUAAUCAAGUCCCUUGUACCUUCACCACAUUUUUUGUUUUUAUGACAAUGAUCUAUUUAGGGUUUAUACAUCUCACUGGUAUCUUUUUUGUGAUUUUACAAUAUGCUUCAUGUAAUAUAUUGGAAAUGUUUCUCUGGAUAUCUUAAAGAAUGCAGCAGUAGUCUGUUCCUGCCAGCCAUGCAGUGCUAACAAAAUGAAUUUCAAUAAGGACAAAUGUAAGGUUCUGCACUUAGGUAGGAUGAGCGAGGUAUAAAUAAUAAAUUAUUACUAUAUUAUUAUUAUAUAAGCAGAAACACAAAUAUAGGAUGGGAGGCACCUGGCUUACUAGCAGUACAUCUAGGGCUCUUGGUGGAACACAAGCUUAGCAUGUGUCAACAGUGUGAUUCAGCAGCAAAAAAAACUAAUGCUAUUCUAGGCUGCAUCAACAGAAGUAUAGUGUCCAGGUCAAAGGAAGUAAUAGUACCACUAUUCUGCCUUAGUCAGACCACACCUGGAAUACUGUGUCUGGUUCUGGGCACCACAGUUUAAGAAGGAAGUUGACAAGCUGGAACAUGUGCAGAGGAGGGCAGCCAAAAUGAUCAAAGGUUUGGAAACCAAGCCUUAUGAGGAGCACUUGAAGGAGCUGGGUAUGUUUAGCCUGGAAAAGAGGAGACUGAGAGGAGAUAAGAUAGCCCUCUUCAAAUAUCUUAAGGAAUGUCACAUGGAAGAAGGAACAAGCUUGUUUUCUCCUGCCCUGGAAGGUUGAACUUGAACCAAUGGCUUCAAGUUACAAGAAAGGAGAUUCCGACCAAACAUAUGAAAAAACUUUCUGACAGUAAGAACUGUUUGACAGUGGAAUGGACUCCUUUGGGAGGGGGUGGACUCUUCUAUUUUGGAGGUGUUUUUUUUUAGCAGAGGUUGGAUGGCCAUCUGUCAUGGAGCCCCCUUUAGUGUGAAAAAAGCUGAAUAGCAACCAUAUUAUUAUACUCAUAUCAGAAGCUAUUGCCCACACGUUAUUUAAGAAUAGUUCCAUGUUUAUUGGUUUCAAAACUCGAAUGUUUAUAAAAAUCCCAUUUUGGGCUCACUAAUUGAGAAAGUUGAUCAUUUUAACUAUGUGGGACAGAUAACCUAUAUCACAUCAGUGAUUUAAAUAAUCAAGAAAUUUAAAUAACUUAAAGAAUUGACUUAAAUCUAGUUCCCCACUGAUAUUACUAAAAAACGAUGCAAAUCUGAGCACUGAACUAUUACAGUUAGAAUAUGAUUCACUACCAUCCCAUACAUCUCUUUGUCAGGUGGUAUACAUUAUUUCUUUUUUUAAAAAGAAUCACUUAAAGUAUCUUUCUUAUGACCAGCACCUAUCACAUUUUGUUAAAUCCUAAACAUGUCUACUGGGAAUCUGACUGGGUUCAAGGGCUCUUACUCUCAGGGAAAUGUGUACAGAAUUGCAAGCCAAGGUAUGGGAACAGAGGCACCUGCACAUUUUCUGACCACGUUAUUUCCAUGUUGCUCCUUUCUGUUUCACUUGGCCCUGGCCCAACCUCAGCACCACACUCAGAAAAACAAAAUAGCAAAUGAAAAUAAAAUUCCCUUAAUAUUCCUGCAAUUGUAGUAAAUAUUCCUGUUUGCAUGGUAUUCAAGGCAUUAAAAUUAUAACAGCUGUGUGAACUUCAAGAUUCCAAAACUUGCUCAGAACCACAGAGGUUCAUUAACAGCACAAUUCCAUGCAUGUGUACUCAGAAAGAUGUCUCAUUAAGUUCAGUGAUCUUACUCUUAGGUAAUUUGUGUAUAGGACUGCACCCUUAAGGACUUAGAACCAUGUAUUAUUAAUUUGUCCAGUACAAUUUCUUUUUGUCAUGCAAACACCCUUUGGAAUAAUAUACAUUUCCAAUUAAUUACGCUUAUUGGGGCAAGAUUGCUAUAUAUUGUCAUGCUUACAGUUUGUAACAGAUACAAAUUCUCUUAAAUUCCAGUGAUCAUUGAACCACCCACAGAGAAACCUGUCAGGUAAAGUACUGAUAUAACCUUGUCCCCCAGCCUUGGAAAGUAUCCAUAUUCACCCAAAAUUAAAGUGCUUCCCUGUAGCACAGGCAGGCGAGAUCUGUCUGUCUCUCUGUCUGUCUGUCUGUCUGUCUGUCUGUCUCUCUCUCUCUCUCUCUCUCUCUCUCACACACACACACACACACACACACACACCUACCUACCUUCUUCAGUGGUUGGUUGGAAGCGAACAUUCUAGAAAGCACUUGCUCCAUACUGGAGCAGUAGUACUGAAGGAUAGAUGGUGCUUUCAUUUGAUUCAAGGGUGAGGACCAGAAAUUGCUCCGCCAAGAAGUGUCAUUUAUGCUGCUGACACCUAACACAUGCAUGGAAUUGUUACUUUGUUCUCUUACUAAGACAUAUUUUAAGAAGGGCUUGUGGAAAAAUGUAUAAAUUUCCUAGGCAGUGAAACAGGCGCUCAUGUUUCUUUUUUGAAGUAUGUGAUAUCCAUUAAACCCUUAAAUUUUCUUUGUCCACUAGUAGUCAAGUGCAUCAGUGUUAGUGAGAGCCAGUCCUGAGCCUUUCUCUCAUUCAUUGUCAACAAUAGUCUGUGGUUCUGUCAAAUUAGUGUUUGCUGUAGAACGUGACAGGUGAAUAGCCCUGAGGGUUUAUGAACUGUAGCCUUACAAUUGAAUUUCAGGGAUUCUCAUUAGAAUGUUGUGAAAUUGUAAAUUACACUGACUGUACCAAACCUUUGACUUGUGUGCCUGACUCUUUUCCAAAUAAUUUUGUUAAAUAUGCAUUUAGCAUAUGAAAUU